rnacentral:lncRNA from 1 species
GAUCAAAGAAGAUAUGAAUAAAAUUGUCACUUAGAUAAAAUAAAUGUUCUAAGAAAUUAAGAAAAAGAAAACAUUGUGGAUGGAAUUUCCUGAUAGUUGACAUUCAAGAAGCAGAUGCAAAUUUGCUAAAUGUUUCCUUUAUCACUUACGAUCCAGCACAUACACUGUGACUUCUAUUAUAAUCAGAGGACCUGCUGGGCCCUGGAGAUGAAAAGGUGACUUUUUGGGGUGUAGAGUGUGAAUGUUAAAUUUCCCCCUGAGAAAACCCCACUGGUUAUCUAAUUAAGCCUGUGAACAUCCUCUCCCCAAAAUGCACACAUAUAAUUUAUAACUCCUGGAGUUUACAAGAUAUUCUUUCUAUCUUACUGAAAAUGUGGUGUGUUAGAACAAGUCACUUUGUUGAUGUCCUAAAAGUCAAAAGUCUGUGACCAAUAUGCAUGCUAGAAUUUUUUAGUAUAUAGUAUUUUCAAAAGACAAAAUGUGGAUUCAAGAAUAUUUUUCACUCCUUAGGCUAUGUUUUCUGGCAAUGAACAUAGAAAGAAGUUUUGCUUGACAGAGAAGGUUUGGGAGCUGGUUUCUUCUUUAUCUACCUGGUACUUAUCAUGAAAGUAAAUAAUGGUUAUAGAAGGCACUCAUUCAUCACUCAGUCAUCUCUGUCAUAACUCAAUUGCUGCAACAGUGGUACCACUUCUACACAUGCUAUGAAAGAACCAGCAUAAUCACUCUUUAAAGUCAUUACAGAUUAAACAAAUAACAGUGAAGCACAUUUUGGUAAACGUUUAUUUUUCUUGCUCUAAACAUAGUAUGUCCUCACAUUUACUUUAAGUUCUGUCCUUGAAUUAAUUUCAUUUAUAAUAUAUUUUAAAAAUAAGAAAAAACUUGAUGUCCCUCAUUAAGAAAACUUUUGAUUUGUAUGCAUCUCAUGUUGUGUUUUUGUAAACUACCACUGAAAAAUCUUAAGAUAAUUGCUGUAUAAUGGGGUAAUUAAUUAAAAUAACAAUAAUAAAAAUUAAAAUUCUAAAUUAGUCUCAAACCAUGUUAACUUUACUUUAAUUAUCAAGCUGUAAUUUCAAACCAGAGAAGGAACUUAGAGGCAUUCCAUGUAAACUUCAAUUUUGUCUGUGUGGUGUGUGUGUUUUGUUUUGUUUUGUUUUUUAGGAAGAAGAGUGGCCCAAAAGAUGAUGAGUCUUUAUUGUAAUCCUAUAACAGUGAUUUUGUAAUCACAUAACUGAUUUUUUAAAUAAGGUUAUCUCCUUUUGAACAUUUUCUGAGAUGCUAGAGAUAGUGGGUAAAUGAAAAUAGAAAAGAUAAAUAAAAUGGAAAUAUUUAGGAUACUUUUAAAGACACGUAAUUAUUAAGUAUUGUUUUAAAGGAAGAGAAGACUGUUUAUUCAGUGACAAAGAAAUAGGACGGGAAGUCAUGGGGGAAAUCAGACCUGGGAAUCCCUAAGAGAAUCCUAUAUCUUUGUUCCAUUUUGCAGCAUGUAGGUAACAUGGUGUGGUGGCAAGACAGUUUUUGUUUGUUCCUUUGUGUUUCAAGCGAGACAAAUUUGGGGGAAGAGAUAUUACAUCCAUUGAUCUAUUCAUUCACUAAACAUUUACUAAGCUACUGUUGUGUGAUCAACACUGCAUUUUGUAUCAGUCUAAAGAAUGUACAUAAUAUUUUGGGGGGACCAUUUGUUUUACAAUUUUCAUAUACUUUACAAGCCAAAAUAUCACCUCAUCUUAAUAGUCGUAAACUGAGCACAGCUGUAUGCAUUAUGUAAAACUUAAACAUUUUCAAAUAUAUUAACCAAAUUCAGUAGCAUAGUUUCAUUUACUACACCCAGAAGGCAUACUCUCUAACUGGUCUGGGAAUAGUCUCACUUUUUAUUUGAAAUUCAACAGUUAUUAAAACUGUUUUGGCUGGAGUACCAGCCAGUUGACCCAGGCUCAAAAUCAGAUCUCAGUAGGGAGACUAUUUUCUUUAAUCCAAGCCAGAAUGGAAAGAAUCUCGGCCAAGUGUCCAAGCUAAAGGCAAGCUCAAACAAACAAAACCAAUCACACUAAAAGAUGGUCCUGUAUGAUAGAUGAACCUAAGUAGAACAAGCCUGAAAAGAAAGAUAAGCUGGUUCAAAAUAAAUAAGGACAGAACAUGAUUUUCUAUAAACAACAUCUAGAUUUCUGAAGAUCUCCCUUUGCGUCUAGAUUUCUAUGUCACAUGUUGGCCUGAAAAGGCUAGAAAGAAUAAUUUUAUUUCAUUUUUAGCUGAAAUAUACUUCAUAAGUGUGUAUACACUGAAACACUUUAAAUUACUGACCAUUCUUGGCAUUUCACACUUACUUUUAUCUUCCCUGUACCUCAAAGAAAUACAAGGAAGCCACUUUUUAAAUGAUAAGACAAGUCACCAUUGUUUUCAAGGCCAUGGAUCAAAACUUGGAAGAAAAACUUAGCCACUGACAACUUUUUAUUGGAAAUUAUUUUAUUAAUUUAGAUCUGCUUGAAAAUAAUCCUUACUGAAUGCAUAGUAUAAACUUUUAUGUGGAUGUCAAUGAAUAGAACAAAAAUGAUAUAAAAGUCAUAGUUUCAAAAAAAAAAAAGGAGAGAGACUUGGCUUUUUUUUCCAUUCCUAAUUCUCCCAUUCUUUCAAGUUCCCUUAUUUACUUUGAGAUUAUUACAUUUUUCUUCCAUUCCCACUUCUCCUCGUCUAUCAUGCUCCUUUCUCAUUUUAUUUGAGACUACUACAAUGUGUCUCUAAUGGUUCUAUUGCACUCAAUCUGUGCACUCAGAAACUGGCAGAGAAGCACCCAAAAACAGCCUGUUGAGCUCCCUAGAAGAAAACCCCCAAUCGUGUCACUUCACUUCACAUGAAAAAACUUCUUCAUUUUCUGCCAAAUGAAACCUGACUUCUCCGCCUGUCUUUCAGGCUUUCUACUGAAAACCCACCCCACAUUUUCAAUAUCAUGUCUCGCCAUUCCUUACCUAGAAUGAGCUCUUCUCUGCCCUGUGCCUUCCAGCACCUGUGGCUUUAUUCUGAUAGUCCUUUCUGCUUUUUAUCUAGUUCUAUGAGUCCAACUCAAAUUCUGAAUCCUCCUGGAAUUUACUCUAAUUUAUUUUCCUUUCAGUACUUCCCUGUUCUCAGAAUGAGCUGUUCUACCUUGGCGCACUCACAUACUUGCUUCUGAUGCUAUGUCUCAUGUGCAGAAUUGUGUCCCAGGUAUUUUUCUAAGUCUCUCUAGUUUCCUUAAACAAUGACGAGCUCUGUGAGGUGCAGGCUGCACUGGAUCCAGGGCUCUCCAUGAGCAGCUCCCCAGCAGCCUGCAACUGGCAUGGAUUGCCCUGCACCCUCCUCUCCAGGCACAGUGUGGGAAAGCUUUUCAUUUUCAUAAAGCUUAUUUUUUAUAUAAAAUAAAAUAAAAACCUGCAUGAUAACUCAUGAUACGUUGGAGAGAAAUAAAGAGGCAGAUGUGGCAGGAUAUCACAAGGAAAUGUCAGCAUCUUAUGCAGCAGGGUUUGAUUUGGGGGACAGUGGAGAAUAGAUAAGAUCGAGAGGAAUGAUAAAAUAAUAGGGAAGACUGUACCCACAGACAAUAAACAGACAGGCAAGGAGACUGCACCAUGCAGAAAAGAGGGGAGAUUAGGAGUGGCGGAUGAAUGAUAAGUAGUUUUGGUUAUUCAUAAAUCAGAAAACAGGUAGUUUUGGAUUUAGUAUUUCAGUUCUGGUCACAUAGGUUAAAUACACACUGAGAUAUACUGAAAGAGUCCAUAAAUCUAAAAAACAACUGAAAUAUUUAAAUACCUAGAUAAAAAUACUGGCACGGAACAAAUUGUGUAUAAAAAGUAAUUGUUACCUAAUAAACUUUUUUCAGAUACUGUGCAAUAUUAUGCUCAGUAUCUGAAAAAAGUUUAUUAGGUAACAAAUUAAAAUGUGCUUUAUGCAAACAUAUGGGCAUUAGCUUAAAAUAUCUACCUUGUCUUGAGUUCAGUGUAUUUUAAAAAUGCAAAAAUAAAUAUAAUUUAUUUGUAUUUUUUUAUCUAGAUACUUUUAUUUAAAUUACUUAAUUAGCUUCUUUAUGUUCCACCUCCCAUGAAAAUGAUUGAGAGUGGCUUAUAUAGA